rnacentral:rRNA from 1 species
UACGAAGGGGGCUAGCGUUGUUCGGAAUUACUGGGCGUAAAGCGCACGUAGGCGGAUACUUAAGUUAGGGGUGAAAUCCCGGGGCUCAACCCCGGAACUGCCUUUAAUACUGGGUAUCUCGAGUUCGAGAGAGGUGAGUGGAAUUCCGAGUGUAGAGGUGAAAUUCGUAGAUAUUCGGAGGAACACCAGUGGCGAAGGCGGCUCACUGGCGUCGAUACUGACGCUGGAGGUGCGAAAGCGUGGGGAGCAAACAGG